rnacentral:rRNA from 1 species
UACGUAGGGUGCAAGCGUUGUCCGGAAUUAUUGGGCGUAAAGAGCUCGUAGGCGGUUUGUCGCGUCGACUGUGAAAACCCGAGGCUUAACCUCGGGCCUGCAGUCGAUACGGGCAGACUAGAGUUCGGUAGGGGAGACUGGAAUUCCUGGUGUAGCGGUGAAAUGCGCAGAUAUCAGGAGGAACACCGAUGGCGAAGGCAGGUCUCUGGGCCACUACUGACGCUGAGAAGCGAAAGCAUGGGGAGCGAACAGG